rnacentral:rRNA from 1 species
GCGCGGUGGUCCCACCUGACCCCAUGCCGAACUCAGAAGUGAAACGCCGUAGCGCCGAUGGUAGUGUGGGGCUUCCCCAUGUGAGAGUAGGGA